rnacentral:rRNA from 1 species
CGAGACCUCAGGUCAGGCGGGGCUACCCGCUGAAUUUAAGCAUAUCAAAAGCGG